GACGAACGCUGGCGGCGUGCUUAACACAUGCAAGUCGAACGGAAAGGCCCUGCUUUUGUUGGUUGCUCGAUUGGCGAACGGGUGAGUAACACGUGAGUAACCUGCCCUUGACUUUGUGAUAACUUCAGGAAACUGGGGCUAAUACCGGAUAGGAUCUCCUGCUCCAUGUUGUGGGUUGGAAAGUUUCGGCUGUUGGGGAUGGACUCGCUGCUUAUCAGCUGGUUUGUGGGGUAGUUGUUUACCAAGGCUUUGACGGGUAGCCGGCCUGAGAGCGUGAACGGCCACAUUGGGACUGAGAUACGGCGCAGAAUCCUACGGGAGGCAGUAGUGGGGAAUAUUGCACAAUGGGCGGAAGCCUGAUGCAGAAACGCUGCGUGCGGGAUGACGGCCUUCGGGUUGUAAACAGCUUUCGAAUGUGCCGAGGAGUGAGUGACGGUAAUGGGUAAAGAAGCAACGGCUAACUACGUG
rnacentral:rRNA from 1 species